rnacentral:lncRNA from 1 species
AUUGUUGACAAAUCUUCAGAAAAGGUCAUAUAUUCACCUGGAUAUUCUAGCCUGAGCCUCAUCACGUUAAACUCUGUAUUCUCCAAAUUAAGCAGGUUUUUUGUUUUUUUUGUUUUUUUUUUUUAUUAACCUUUUUUUUCUCUUUUCUUUCCUUUUUUUUUUGGCUGUGCCAAACCGCAAGCAGGGGUUUCUAGGCCACGGAUCGAACCUGCACCACAGCAGUGACCAGAGACACAUUUGCGACAAUACUAGAUCCUUAACCACUGGGCUACCAGGGAAUUCCAAGAGUUCUUUUUCCUAUUUCCUUUUUUGUCUUUUCUAGGGCUGCACCCUUGGCAUAUGGAGGUUCCUAGGUUAGGGGUCUAAUCAGAGCUGUAGCCACCGGCCUACUCCAGAGUCACAGCAGUGGGAGAUGCGAGCCAUGUCUGCGACCUACACCACAGCUCACAGCAAAGCCUGAUCCUUAACCCGCUGAGUGAGGCCAGGGAUCGAACCCACAACCUCAUGGUUCCUAGUCGGAUUCGUUAACCGCUGAGCCAUGAUGGGAACUCCAAGUUCCGUUUUCUUAAUCAAAAUGUGUUUGCAUCACCUGAUGGAAAAGUGCAAACAGUAUAUUUCACAAUGUUGCUUUUAUUUCACGGUAUGUUCUUCAGCUUGAAUAGCAGUAAAUCUGUUCAAGUCAUCGAUGUUGGAGGAAGGCAGAAAAGUACAGAACAUCAGCCAGAAUAUACUACCUAGGCUGUUAGUUAAAGCCAGCCUAGGGUGUGGUUGUCACCAGUCUGGACAACCUCUAAGGACAUCCAAAUACUUCUCUCCCCUUUACUGUCAUUUUUCAGUUUUAUGGUAAAGUUUGCAUGAAAGAUUUAGGUGCAUAAAAAACAAAAGCCAAUAUUCCCUGGGGUUUUACAAUGUGAGUAAGAAACUCUUGUCACAUUAUUUAUAGAAGGUAUUUUUCUGUUCUCAAAUAGGGACAGGAAAAAUUGUAGGUUCUAGGUUUUACUUCAUGCACGUUCGUAAGAAUCAAUUUUCCUCCUUGUGAAUGGAGCUGAUGUUGGUAGUUUAAUCCUAAUUUAGAUUGUGUAUGUUGGAGGGGAGUAGAAACUUGAUUUUUUUUCUUAUUCUUUGUAUGUACUUUUUAAAAAUACAUGACAGAUAUAAUUGCAUUCUUUUUUACAGGAAAGCUUUAAGAGAAGCAGAGCACAGUAUUUAAUGAAAUGUAUUAUCACUUGAUUAUUUAUAGAACAUAAUUAUUUGUAUUGAGUCAUUUGUAAUACUUUCAACCAGCUCUUCUUUAAAGAGAUAAAAGCUAGAAUGUUAGUGAAAUUCAUUUUUGGUCCUUUUACUAGACUUUUUCAUUGAGGAUAAUGGGAUGGGUGAGAAUACUGUGUAGUGUUCAGAAUCUCAGAACUACUUUCAGAUAGGGAGCGCUGGAAGGUCUGAAGAUGUCGUCAUUUCCAUCUUACAGAACUCUCUCCUCAUUGAGUAUUAAAGGCUACUUGAACUUUGAUUCUUCAUAAGAAAAUGUAUACAUAUUGGUGACAUCAAAAGACUCACAUGUAUGAGGCGUUCCCGUCAUGGCUCAGUGGUUAACGAUCUUGACUAGGACCCAUGAGGACGAGAGUUGGAUCCCUGGCCUUGCUCAGUGGGUUAAGGAUCCGGUGUUGCUGUGAGCUGUGGUGUAGGUCGAAGAUGCGGCUCAGAUCCUGCGUUGCUGUGGCUGUGGUGUAGACCAUCAGCUGUAGCUCCAGUUUGACCCCUAGCCGGGGGAACUUCCUCAUGCCAUGGCUGUGGCCCUAAAAAGACAAAAGACAAAAAAUAAAAAAAAAUACCCCCCCCCCGCCAACUCCCCCCCCAAAAAAACCAGACAUUCACAUGUGUGAUUAUGGGCUUUUAAAAAAGAUGACCUAUUAGUUGCAGUGAACAAAAAGUUGUAGAUGUGUAACUUUGCAUCAUGACAGUGAAUGGGAAAGCCUGAAACGGAUGCAUUGAUGGGAUUCUGUAAUCACUGUGGAAACCUAGUUUUCAGACUCUUCCGUCUAUGUUUAGGGGAAGGAGAGUAAGUCUGUCUUUCAGGCUGCAGGCAGCAUUAUAAAGAUCUGCUACUUGACGUGGCCUUCCUAUCUCAGGGCACCGCAAAAGCACCUGUUCCUUCUCUCUUUCUUGCUAUAAAUAGUCCCUUAGUUCUUCUCUGUCAGCUGGUCUCUCCAUGUGGUCCCUCCCACCCCGCCAAGGAAUUCAGGACCUGAUGAGCACAUUUCAGAGCUUAAAGAAAGAACUGUGGAGCAGACUUUCUCUCGAACAUUCUGGCUGCCUUGCCUCAUUCUCGUCCUCGUUUUGUGUGUGUAUUUGGUCCCGUCUCUUCAAUCAGAUCCUAAGCUCUUAGAGGGCAAGAACUAUUUCUUAUAUUUCCCUUGUAGCUCCUGGCACCUGGUUGGUGCUCCGUAAAUACAUGCUUUAUUCAGCUUGUGCAGGCAUUAUAACUGGCCUGGUGCAAAAUAGGAAGCCAGGCAGUAGCCAGUUGUAAACCUGCUCUGUCUCCCUUAUAGGGUUAUUGCAAACAUAACAAUAAACAUUGAAAAUAACAGAGUCCCAUGGGUGGCAGCCUUCAUCUUGUUGCUGUGUGAACUGGGUAGAUAAGAGUGGUUCAUUCAGACCUCCUCUCUGCACCUUCCUUCUGUUUGGCACCCUUUGUUUGGUGGUCGUUAAGGCGAUUGUUAUUGCCGUCUCCUGCGAAGUGAUUUCACAUUUCUUCAGGCUUGUGGGUAAUACAGCACAUGUGGCCACAUGAUCCAUGGCCAGGGCACAUGUUCUCAUGAUGGACUUUGGGGGCGACUCUGUCUGUGACCUUUGGUGCUCUGUGUCCUGCUGUGACAAGAGCGUCCCAGUGCUGGCAGCCUUUGGAUGUGCUCACACAUUAGGAAGCAUAGGACUGAGACAGGAAGAGGAAUAUUCAGAAAUGAGGUUGUGUGCAGGGAGUGGGUACCAGUUCAAAGACAGAAAACGUAUGAUGUUAUCCCUGGCCCUGUAGCUCACCAGCCUGAGUGGCAUGGGGAAGUGACUUCUGUCUCCAGGCUUCUGUAUCUUCGUCUGUGCAGUAGGGGUGUUGGAGCCGAGGCCUUCCACAUUCAAUCUGAUGUUAGGCCAGGAGUGAGAAAAAGCAUUUCCAGUCAUGAGUCCAACAGCCAGCCUGCAGCAAAGUGACCUGCAUGCGGAAGCAGAAAUGCACAGACUUUCAGGUCAGGCAGACCUGAGUUCACAUGCUUCAGCCAGGGUCCCAGAGGGUCCUAGAGGUAGGACAAAAGAGCCUAAUGGUUUUGUCCCUGAAGGCAGUUUGCAGGAGCUUUGGCCACCUGUUGUGAGGGACUUUCAUAACAAGGUGUGGAAGGCGUUUCUGUAUUACAGAGAACUGUCUCCUACCAUGUAGGCCACAAAGAAGUCACUUCCUUGAGAACAGAGCUGAUGUGUUAGGUUCCUCGUUAUUCCUCAUCGUCCCCAGCACAGGGAGCUGAUUGUUAGGCAGGGCUCAGCAAAUAGCGAUCAGUUCAGAUGCUCUUUAUUCUAAGUGGGAGCCAGUGUCACACUAGAAUUGAGAGGAUUUUGAGACAGGUGCCAUUUGCCAAAGCCCCCAAUUCUUUUUUUGUUUAAUUAUUUUUAAACAUUGAAGUAUAGUUGAUACACAGUAUUGUGCCAUUUGCUGUUUACUGCAAAGUGACCCAGACAUUCACAUACAGACAUUUUUUUCCUUAUAUUAUCUUCCAUCUUGUUCUCUCCCAAGAGAUUGGAUAUAUUUCCUGGGGUGAUACAGUAGGACCUCACUGCUUAGCCCUUCUAAAUGCAAUAGUUUGCAUCUGCUCACCCCAAACUCUUAGCCCUAAUAAACAAAUGGAGAUGGGCAAGAAUUGUAGCUGGACCUAGAGAUGUGUGAUGGAGUGCUUUACGGGAGAGAGAGAGUUACAUUAAAAUUCACCUGCUUUAGAGAAAAAAAUCCAGUAACAAACCUACCUUCUUCUUCUUUCCGUAAACCACUGUUUAAUUUAACAUAAAAGAUGUUAAUAUACAUCUGUGUGUAAAAGCUUAGUGAGACAGUGUUACUUUAAUGACUUGAUCAGAAGAGAAGAGAAGACAUUAUAAAAAUGCCACUUGCAUUACCCUUUAACAGAGCCUCAUUAUUCCGUCCCCUACUGUGGAACAGAAGUCGGCCUAGCUCGUAAAUUGGUAGAAUUAUCUUAGACAUAUGAAUUUGCUUAUCAUUUAAUAUUCUCUGAUGACCCACUACUUGAGAUCUUUUGAUCUCUAGUCAAAUCUUUGCCUAUCACUACCUGACUUCAAAGGGAAACCCAUGCAGAAGCUAUGUGACGGCGAAUGGAAGACUUUUUUUUU